rnacentral:snRNA from 1 species
GGAUGUGAGGGCCAUCUGGCUGCGACAUCUGUCACCACAUUGAUUGCCAGGAUUGAUCUGGCUGAUCUGGCUGGCUAGGCCAGCCACCUUCCUCCUUCAGCACUCCACAUGCAUCCCUCCCGAAGUUGCAUGAAAGAGGACAACCACUCCGAUAGAGGAGGACCAAUUCCUCGGUCAAGGGCAUAUCAGUAGAUGUGCUCCCUGGCUACCUCCAAAUAAGCUCUCAAAGAAGAAUAUGAGGCCAUAGAUGUAUAUAUAAGAUGCAAAG